CCGCGAGCUGCCGCAGCCAGCUGGCAGCGACCUGGUCCCAGCCCAGGUGCUCGGCCACGUGACGACGGGCCCGCUGUCCCACGGCGGCGGCCUGCGGU
rnacentral:tRNA from 1 species